rfam:Triticum aestivum genome assembly, contig: Triticum_aestivum_CS42_TGACv1_scaffold_001135_1AL
GGAGCAUCCGUGAUGUUACAUCCACUUAACUCAUCCUUGCACUUUGAGUCUCGGCAGUGAAGAAAAACAUUGGGGAAUUUGUAGUCUGAGAUGCUC